GUCUCUUCUCCCAGCCACACAUCGUCUCUCUUAUCUCUCUCCCUCCAUCGGCUCCUCUCUCCUGUGGCCGGCUGGCGACUGAGGCCGAAGAUCCUCUGCCCUCCUGCUUCUGCUCUCCACUCUCCCUCCUCUCUCUCUUCUGCGAGAAGCUGCGGCUGUGACCUGCAGCAGCACCGGCGGCGGGAGGAGUACGUAGCAGCGGCAGCCUGCAGCAGCAACGAGGACGAGCAGAGGCAGCGGGGCAACUGGUGAGGAGCAGCGGCGUGCGAGGCGUCGGCAGGCAGCGAGCGGCGGGGGCCGGCCCUCCUGUUGGAAGAAAUAGAGCAUCACCGGCUAGGUUCUUCAAAAUCAACCAAAUUUUUUCCGCCAGAUCAGGUGACAAUGAUCAAGGGGAAGCAAUUUAGAGGGUUAUUGAAUGUCAAGGUUCAAUCAAUGUCCAAAGAAUUUUAGCAAGUGGCUAAUGAGGUGUUACAACCUAGAAACAUCAGAACUUGUUAUAUCAGGGAGGGGUAGCAUCCCAGUUGAUGCAGAAAGUGUACAGAGGGUUUUUGAUUUGCCAAACAAGUGGAGGAAAGUCACUUAUGAGAUGAACCAGGAAGCAACACUUACUUUCCUUACCAGUAGGGAUUGGAAAACAUGCACAAUUCUGUGUGUGUGUCCCCUAGGAGCAACUCGUGUUAAACUGACCUACUCCACAUUUGUUCUUGUGUUGCCUGAUUAAUUUAUUGCCUAGCUAUAGCAUGCCCACUUAAUUUCCUGGCCUGAUUUGAAUUCUGGUGUGUUCCAUGGAUUGGAGAACAUGCAAAAUUAUGUGUACCCUAGGAGCAACUUCUGUAAAACUGACCUAAGUCAUUGUGUUCUUGUGUUGCAUUGCCUCAUUAA